GAGGAAGAAAAAGAAGAAAAAAGGACGAAAUGGAGGAGGAGGAGGAGGAGGAGGGAAAGGAGAAGCGCGUUUAUAUACGACGCCCUCGCGGGAGUACCAGGUGUACACAAAACGAUUUCCUCUUCUUCGACGGGCGACGCACUCGGCAACCGCGAGCAGCACCAACCAGAACGACCGACGACGUUCGUUUAUCGUAAAUGUAUUGGGUCCUGACCAUCCAAUCACCGUCCGGCAAAGAUCAACCAAUGAUAGCCGACCAGUUCAUAGAGAGCAAAACGAUUCCCUACAAACGUUUACACAGAAGGAAAAAUCUUUCUUUGAGAAGAUUAAAUCGAGGAUAAAAGUUGUGUAAACGAAGAGGAUGUAACUUACUUGAAAUAUU